UUUUAAAACUAGAAAUGUUUCAGGGGGCACUCAGGUCCUCCUCUUGCACCAGUUCCUGGUGUUGGCAGUUUCUGCUCUGAGCUCCAGAUCCUGAUCCUGCCGGUGGUCUAUGGUGAUGCCAGUGUGUACAUGCUCUUCCUUGUGCACCGGUGUGGAAAGGAGGCAGCCCUUCCCCUACAUGAGGCUGCAACAUGCUGACACUCAAAGCAGGCACAAUGAAGAAUCAGCUAGAGUUCCCGGUACCAGCUGUCCCAGGUAGAAACAUCACCUUCACCACAGUGUUCCUGUGCUCCUAUCAGGCCUUCACUACUCCCAGCAGGCCAUGCAUGAGCAAUGUGACAGGUGACUGCCUGUCCCAGCACAGCAUGGUGGUGAUGAUCCCACCUUAUCUGUUUGUCUUUGGAGUGUCCCCACACGUCUCUGAGCUUCACUUUUCUCUUCUCACAGGCAGGCUUGUACAGGCAUGAACCUCACAGGAUUAUGGUAGGUAGUCAUGGUAGCUGCUCACCCAGUGGCAGGCUCUGCCGAGAGGGCUGCUGGGAGUGCUGUGUGUCUUCACACUUGUCCUUCACUCUCCCCAAUGAAAACACUCUUGGCCUUAUCCUUCCCUGGCCUGUGGCCUUUCUGUGUUUGCAAAAGAACAUGGAAACAAUCUGUUUGCAAAGAAGUUUUGAGGUUCUGUCCAUCUGGUCCAGGAAAUGCUGACUCUGCUAGAUGUGCUGUUGGGUGGGCUCUCAUGGGAGAGGCUUGGGCAGGACUUCCCUUGGCAAUAAGCUGCCCCACCCAGGCCUUUCCAUGAUCCAGACUCCUGGGACCAGGGUGCAAAUCCCCAGCUCCCCACUUGUCAACAAUGUGACCUGGGCAACUUUCUCAAACCCAAGCUUUGUCCACCCAAGGUCAUCAGAGAUGGGGGAUAACAGGAUGUCCUGCACAGAGUGUCUGUGCAGAUUAAGUGAGGUAGAACAGACAGAACAGUGGUGGGGCCUGGCCCAUUGGUUGGCAGAAGGGAGCUCACCAUGUGCAGCAAUUUCCGCGGGUCACCCAGCAAUCUGCCCAGAGGCUUAGAUACUCCAUCACUAUCAUGUAUCUGAAGUCCACUUAACCACAUGGGAGAGAAACAAACACAUAUUCUGAGUGUAGCUGCCACAGGGAAAAGUGUAUCUGAGCGGGGAGUAAUACCAGAGGGUGAUCAGGAUGGUGGAAGAUGCCCCCUUGGGUUGAGCAGAGUGGAGCUGCCCUCUGGAGCCUGGGGUUAGUGAGGAUGGGCUUGUAGAAAUGCCCCUCUCCUUUACCCAUCAAUGCUGGGUCCUGCGGGUACUGAGUCCCACAAUCGGUGUGCUGCUAGUGCCCUCAGCACAGAGAAAAACCCAGGGGUUCCCACAAGGCUUCGGCCACGUCCUCUGCUUCCUGAACUCCCAUUCUGGUGACCGCACCUGGGAUGCAGAGAUGAGGUGAGGCAGGGGCUUGUGCUGUCAACACCACUGCUCUACCCUGGGAAUCUGACACACAGUAGGUGCUCGGUAAGUCAUUGUUGAAUGAACAGCAAUACUGGGUCAAGUUUCUGUGGGUGUCUGUGCCCCCAGAUCAGGGACCCCUCAGGGCCCACCUCACAAGUGACAUGAAAAUAAUAAUGCCACCAGGAGCAAUAACAGUUCCUCAGAAUAAGUGGGCUUUUCCAAGCACUCUCCACCUGUUGCAAAGGCCUCCCAGCAGGGAAGUGGGCUGUCAGGGGCAACACUGCACUCUCCACUGUAACAAGGAGAAAGCCAAGGGCCACAGAGAGGAGUGCCUUUCCAGUGUCACUGCUCACUUUCCCACCUUUUGGGAGACUGGGAGGCUUUUCUACUACAUUCUGGCUCUGAAGCCCCAAUAUUGUUUGGACAUGUCUCCCUCCCUGGAGCAGGGAACCACUAAGUGACCUGUCACUUGUCACCAAGCAGACAGGCUCAUUUCAGCUCAUUGUGCCACCUGCAGUUUGUGCUAGUAGCAGGAUCCUCUGGGAGACAUCACACUCUCCCAACCUGAAAACAGGUGAACAGCUCACAGGUUUCCUGGAGAGGAUGGUCACAUGGCCUUGAUCUGGCCAAUCAGCAUUUUCCAUCCUCCCUGGCCACUGUGAUUGGCUCAGGGCUGGGCACCAGCCCAAUCAGGCUCCACGGAGGUCAGGCCUAGUUGCUGGAAUCCUGGGAGCAGAGAAGUUCUAUUUCAGUUGGGAGUUGAGGGGUGGUGAUGUCAGCCUGUGGCAGUUGGUGACUAUCUUGCUCUCGUAAAGGCAGAGCCAUGUGAAGAUGACACCAGUGGCAGAGCCCAGAGGUGGGGAAGGAUGACUUCUGCUGAUGUCACUGAGCACCAGGUACAGCCCUGCCUGAAGCUAUCUCCCUGUGGAUGUCUCAGUUAGGCUGUCUGCUGCAUGAGAAUGGAGACCUGCCUGCUUCACUACCUGCUGUGCCCGGUAUCUGGAACCCGCCCAACACACAGUAGGACGUCAGCGAAUGUGUGACGGGUGUGUGAUCACAGUAGGCCACAGACAAAAGUUUUCCCAGCAGUGAUGAAACCCUGUGACAGAUCCUGUCCACAGCACCCUGCUCCUCCGAUCCUGACCCCAGGCUUUCCCAUGGGGUGUGACCCCGCAUGGGGUGCAGUCCUCUCCUCCAGUCUGACGUCAGUAAUCUUGGACCCGUUCUUGGAGCAGAGAAUUGAGUACUUUCCUAAAGUGCACGUUGACACUCCAUAUGUUUCUGCCAGUAUCAGCGAGGUUCAAUAUGUCUCAUGAAUGUCUUUUGAGCCUGGUAUUCUCAACAGAAGUCUCCAUGCCAGUAUUCUCCAUUGUAGCAGAACAACUCUCAUCAAUGUGUUCGCAUCUCACCUCAAUUUGUGCAGCCAGCUUUUCUGCCAACUUCCUUCAUGUCUCCUAUAAAGUCAAAUUCUAAAGGACAGGGCAAGUCUGAAAGUACCUCGGAGCCUCACCUGUAAGCUGAUGACAGGCAGAUCUUCCACUAUCUGCCCUUUCAGAUUCUGGAAA